GUGUCCCAGGGCCAAACCCCCAGGAGUCCUGUCUUCAGGACCUUUUUGAGUAGUCUUCCACGGUUGAAGGGGGAGCUUCAGGGAGAGUCCGAUGUGGAGCCAAUGCGACCACACGUGGCACUGGCGUCUCUCAGAGCAGAUGGGGUAAGUGUGUGUCACUGAAGCCAUAUGGGGCGAUGGCGAGAAAGACAAUGGUGUCCAGGCGUGUGCGCGGUGGAAGAAAGGCCCAGGUGACCUCCCCGUUAACACCAAGGAAAAGCAAAGCACAGCUGGGAACCAGGAGAGAGCGUGUGAAUGAGACCAAGCCACAUUUUGGGAUGCCUGCACCGGAGCGGAGAGGUUUCUGCAAAGUUCACCCCACCCCCACCCCUCCACCGCCUAGGUCGCCCUGACGCAACCUCACCUGCACCCAGCCCCAGCCCUGUCCUUUUGGUUCCCUGACAUUCGUGAUAGCCAAAAUAUUCGGCUGUGGGACGCAGUCCACCCAGGAGCAGAGGAGAGGAUGUUCCCUCAGAAUGAGACAGGAAGAAGUGCAGUGGAAUGCGACACCACCUUUCCUAGAAGCCAAGGCCAGUCACUAUCACCUACCGCUCAUUCUAGGCAAACUACCCAGCCAUCAGGUGAAACAUGGAGACCAAGGGAGAUUCUCUGUCUGAGACAGGUAUGGAAGUUCAGAGCUCCAGGAUCGUCAAAACUGCCUAAUCAACCAGAAACUGGUUUGGAGAGAGAAACAUUGAUGACGCGGAUCUCCAUGAAGUUUCUCCCUGAUGGACUGGGAAGUGUUCUUUGUUGUAGGCAUUGAUCCAGACCAAGAAGCACCUAGACCCCUCAAAACAGGGCAGGCAGAGCAAGAGGGACGACAGAGCAGAGGCCAGAGCCCAGGCACAAUACAGCACAGUGCCACCGCCAGGCAGGAUACAGGCACAGUUUCACCGCCACCGGCAUAAGGAAAGGAGUGCCAAACUGGACAAUGAACUCCUGUGAGGCUUUUGUCCUUGGCUGGAGUGUGGUCAUCUUGAUCCUACAAAAGACGCUGCUCAGGAUAGGAAUGAGAUUUCAAUUUCUCCGGGACCGAUGCAUCUCCACAAGUCGUCGAAGCCUUCACAAACCCAAAGUGGAACCGCCGCGAAAAAGAUUGACAACCGGCCACAUGACCCAGCCAGAGACGCAGAAAGAGGCUCACUAAAGACAGGCCGACAUGCCAGAAAUUGCUUUGUGGCGCAUAGGGCACAUUCGCCCCAACACUCACACGCACACAGGCGCACAGACAGAGAGACAGAGAAAGCGAGAGAGACAGACAGAGAUUGGGAGACAGAGAGAGAAGAAAGAAUGUGAUACACACGCACACAAACAUACAGCAGUGGCACAGAAAUACACACCUCCAGGCAAUCCCUGAGGCUGUGGGGUUCUGCUCUUCGGGACAACGACUCUUGGGUGAGAGAGCAGCCCACGGGCACACAGGCAGACCUGUCCUCGAGAUCACGGGGGGCAGCACGACUUUUGGGGGGACUCACCCGAACACCUUCCGGGCAGGCCUGAGGCUGGGAUGCCGCGCUGCUGUCCUUGGACUCCGUCUGCUGUUUCUGCAUCCUGGUCGGCCCUCCGUUUAUUGUGGUGUCCCGAAACAGUUUUGUCGACCCCCUGGAUUGGUCAGGCUGGAGCCUCGGCACCGACGCCCUGCCACGGAGGGCUCCUGCUUUGUCAAGGCUCAAGGAGUGGUCUUCAGCCAACCGUUGGAGUCACUGUGACAGGAGAAUGGGCUCGCGCCUUGCGCAUGCGCAUUGCCCAGGCGGACUCCGGCUUUGCUCUUGGAAGUCCGGCUGCGGCCCCUUUAAACAGAUGACAGUUACAAUUGGAAAGGAAAUACCUAGUUUACAGGAGGCAUUAAUACUUAUGUUGCUGCAGAAACUGAACCCUUACAAGAAUGUAUUCUUGACUUUCUGACCUGGACACUAACAAAUAGUGAAAAAUAUGUAUCUAAGAAUACUCUUGGAACAGAAAUGUGAAACACCAAAAGUAAGAGAUAUUAUGAAGGAUCAAAUAUAAAAUGACCCACUGCUAAAGAGGCAACAAAGAAAACUGUAGAAGAAAAUGACAAGAGGCACUAUGCGUUAGUGGGUUUGUGCUACUAUGUAACAAAAUACACUAGACUGGGUAAUUUCUGAAGAAGAGAAAUGUAUUUCUCACAGUUCCGUAGGCUGGAAGUCCAAGAUCAAGGUGCCAGCAGGAUUGGUGUCUGGUGAGGGCCUGGUAUCCACAUCCAAGAUGGCGCCUUGUGCACUGUGUCUUCAGGAGAGGAUGCGCUGUGUUCUCACAUGGCAGAAGGCGCAAGGGCAAAACAGGGGAAGCCUACUCCCUCCAGUCUUUGUGUAAGAACCCUAAACCCAUUCGUGAAGACUCUCCCUUCAUGACUGAAUCACUUCCUAAAGGCCCUACUUCCUAAUCCUGUGACAUUGCGAGGUUCUAACACUCUAUACAGCAAGGUGGGUUUGCUCAGUCUCCUCUCUAUCCUGGAACAUCCCUGCACCUCAUAAAUUGCCUGUCACAAGAAAGAAUCCAGAAUUCCAGGUGGAUUUCUAUGAAUAUCCCAAGGAAGACGCCAUCAUCACAUUCCACUUCCCAGUGUACACGAACAAUGUCGUAGUGAUGAACAGCAUCCAGAAAGGGUCAUGGAAUGAGAAAAACAUUGCUUUCUCUGGCUCCAUUGUGACAGGGAAGUCAUUUGAGCUGUGAGUUUUGGUGCUGGACGAUCAGUACCAGAGACAGAGUCUUGCUGUGUUGCCCAGGCUGGAAUGCGCUGGCAGGAUCAUACCUCACUGCAGACUCAACCUUCUGGACUCAAGCAAUCCUCCUACCUCAGCCCUUGAAAGUGCUGGUAUUACAGGAGUGAGCCGCUAUGUCUGGCUCCCCAAGAAGUUUUGACAUUGCUUAUGUGUCUAUCUAUUACCACAAUAAUAACCAGGAAAAGAUGCUGAAUCAAAACAAACAAAAAUAGUUCAGGUUCUGGAGCGAGCCUGGUUCAAACCUCUGCUCUCUUAAUUCUUAGCUCUGUGACCUUGUGCAAGUUUCUUAAACUCUCUAUACCUCAGUUUCCUUUUUUGAAAAAUGAGGACAGUUUUAUCUACCUCAUAAAGUUGUUGUGAGCAUCAAGUGAAUCAAUACAUUUUUUUAAAAGAUGCUGAAUCACCAAGGAAAUGUAAAUCAAAACCACAGUGGGAUAUUACCUCACAUCUGUUAGCAUGGCUAUUUUCAAAAGAACAAAGGAUAACAAGUGUGGGCAAUGAGGUGAAGAAAUUGGAGGCCUUGUGCACUGUGGGUAGGAAUGCGAAAUGGUGCAGCCACUGUAGAAAACAGUAUGGAACUUCUGCAAAGAAUUACAAAUAUAACUACCAUAUGACCCAGGAAUCCCACUCCAGGGUAUAAGGCAAAGAAGUUGAAAUCGGGAUUUUAAAAAGAUAUUAGCAUCCCAUUGUUCAUUGCAGCACUAUUCACAACAGCCAAGAUAUGGAAACAACCUAAAUGACUAUAAACAGAUGAUUCAAUAAAGAAAAUGUGGCGUAUACACACAAUGGAAAAUUAUUCAGCCUUUAGAAAGAAGGGUAUCCUGCAAUAUGCAACCACAUGGCUGAACCUUAAAGACUAAUGUUUGCUAAGCAAAUAAGCCAGUCACAGGACAAAUACUACAGGAUUCCAUUUACAUGAGGUGAUUGAAAUAGUCAAAAUUAGAGAAGCAGAGAGUAAAAUGGUGGUUACCGGGGGUGGGGAGGAGGGGUAAAUGGGAUAUUGCUAACCAGCGGACAUAAAGUUUCACUUACACAAGAUGACUAAGUUCUAGAAAUUGUCUGUACAACACUGUGCCAAUAGUUAACAACACUGUACUGCAAACAUAAAAAUGUGUUAAGAGGGUAGAUGUCAUGUAAAGCAUUUUUACCACAGUAAAGUAAAAUUUUAUUAAAGAAUACAUGCAAAUUAGUACAAACA